UCGUAGAUAGCUCAGAGGCCUAGAGCGGUGGGAUAAGUUGGGCUGUUAAAUAAACGGCCCUGCUCCCACAGGUCGCAGGUUCGAUUCCUGCUCUACGAA
rfam:Daphnia pulex DAPPTscaffold_86_Cont4066, whole genome shotgun sequence.